rnacentral:rRNA from 1 species
UGGGGAAUAUUGGACAAUGGGCGCAAGCCUGAUCCAGCCACGCCGCGUGAGUGAUGAAGGCCUUCGGGUCGUAAAGCUCUGUGGGGAGGGACGAACGUCCGGGUGAAGAAUCCGGGGUGACGGUACCUCCUUAGCAAGCACCGGCUAACUUCGUGCCAGCAGCCGCGGUAAUACGAAGGGUGCAAACGUUGCUCGGAAUCAUUGGGCGUAAAGCGCACGUAGGCGGCAUUCUAAGUCGGAUGUGAAAUCCCUCGGCUCAACCGAGGACGUGCAUCCGAAACUGGAACGCUCGAGUAUGGAAGAGGGUCGCGGAAUUCUCGGUGUAGAGGUGAAAUUCGUAGAUAUCGGGAGGAACACCAGUGGCGAAGGCGGCGACCUGGGCCAAUACUGACGCUGAGGUGCGAAAGCGUGGGGAGCAAA